CCUACGGGGGGCUGCAGUGGGGGAUAUUGGACAAUGGGCGCAAGCCUGAUCCAGCAAUGCCGCGUGAGUGAAGAAGGCCUUCGGGUUGUAAAGCUCUUUUGUCAGGGAAGAAACGGCUGUGGCUAAUAUCCACGGCUAAUGACGGUACCUGAAGAAUAAGCACCGGCUAACUACGUGCCAGCAGCCGCGGUAAUACGUAGGGUGCAAGCGUUAAUCGGAAUUACUGGGCGUAAAGCGUGCGCAGGCGGUUUUGUAAGUCUGUCGUGAAAUCCCCGGGCUCAACCUGGGAAUUGCGAUGGAGACUGCAAGGCUAGAAUCUGGCAGAGGGGGGUAGGAUUCCACGUGUAGCAGUGAAAUGCGUAGAGAUGUGGAGGAACACCGAUGGCGAAGGCAGCCCCCUGGGUCAAGAUUGACGCUCAUGCACGAAAGCGUGGGUAGCAAACAGGAUUAGAUACCCGAGUAGUC
rnacentral:rRNA from 1 species